GCCCUUUGAAAAAAUAAAAGGUGUCUCCUGCCCAGUGAUUUUUAAUUUAAUAAAAAUAAAACUUUUAUAGAAAAAUUAAACGGAAGCGGUAACCUGACUGUAGUAAUGUAGCGUAAUCAUUAGCCAUUUAAUUGAUGGAUAGUAUGAAAGGAUAAACGAAUAUUUCACUGUCUUAAAAAAAGAACUUAUGAAAUUGAAAUAAUAGUGAAGAUACUAUUUAAAAUUGUAAGACGAAAAGACCCUAUAGAGCUUCACUAUAAACUUUUUUACAUUAAAAAUUUACUAUAAAAAAGUCUGGUAGUUUAGUUGGGGCGACUGUUUUUUAAAAACAACAAAAACAAGCAAUAUUAAUUAAAAAAUUUACUGUAUAACAUAUAAAUUUAACAGUUACUAAAGUAGGCAAUAAUGACCCGUUAUUAUUAAAUAAUAAAAAUAACGUUCAAUAAAUAAAAGCUACCUUAGGGAUAACAGGAUAAUUUUGUGUUAGAGUUCAUAUUAAACACAAAGUUUGUCACCUCUAUGUUGAAUUAAGAUACCCCAACGGUGCAGAAGCUGUUAAAGGUAGGUCUGUUCGACCUUUAAAAUCUU
rnacentral:rRNA from 1 species